rnacentral:sRNA from 1 species
GAUGGACUCCGAAGGCCGGGUCUCUUGGUUGUGCACCUUUAAAGGUGGUUUGGAAGAAUUAGAUGACUCCAGAUAGUUUUAGAAAACUCCAUCUGACUUCUCUACAGACAGAGGAGAGCAGCCGGAACACUGACGGAGAAUUUGAGGACUUGGCUAGGAAUGCCAUCUUCAGAAUUCUGACCUCUCAGAGCCCAGAGAGAACCACAAGCUGGGGACUGCACUUUGUUAGGUAGCCUGAAGACCCAUCCAAAAUACCAUGGAAGGAGGGCAUUGAACAUGCAGGGGUCAGCAAGAUGCCUCAACAGAUAGAGACGCCGUGAAGCCCGAUGACCAGAAUUCAAGUCCACGGCGUCCACAUGGUAGAAGUCAAGAGCUGACUCUAGAAGUUUGUCUUCUGACUACCACACACACGCUGUGCCACGCCUGUCUCCCUCCCCAGGGAAUGAGUAAGUAGCGGGAAAGCAUCGAACCACUUCCAAACCAUUGCACUCUCUCGAUCUGAACACCCAGGCUAGGGUCUUAGACACUGAGCAUUAAGGCUUCUCAGUUACAAGGUGGGGGCUUCCAAGUUAGUAGGACAAUGGACUCAUACGAUGCCAGGACCAUGGCAGGUGCCCACAGUCAGUGGGGCUUUCUUUUAUCACGACCAUCAUCUGGAGACACAUGAAUCAGAUCAGUUCUUCUGUGGCCUCUUGGCGGUGUACCGAUUCUGCCUUUUUUACUUGUGGCCUGGAGAAAUAGCGAUUCCCAACUUCCUAAGGCAGUAUUUCAAGAUUCACUGACUGUGUGUGUACCUGUGAUUCUCAAGUGUGCCUACCUACCGCCAUCAGUAAAUGGUGGCAAAGAGUAUGACCUGUUCUCAUCGGAACUCAUGUUGAAGUUUAAUUCCAGAUGCAAGAAAAGCCAUCAGUGUCCCCUGUUCUCCACUGUCACAAUAUUAGUUUGUCUGCCCUGCCUCACACUGCCCACCAUGAUGCAGGGGACCCACUGAAGUCAUCAACGAAGUAAGUCUUUCUCUCACUUAAAUUGUUUCUGUCAGGCGUUUUCUCAGAGCAGUGGACAAAAUGAGUAAUAAAAAUUGGGUUGAGUUUGUUCUCUUGAAGAGUUGGCUACAAAAAACAAAAAAAACAAAACAAAAACUAAGCUUCUUUCCUUGCCACCUCUUAUGUUCUUCAUGUGUGUCCCCCCUCUCACCCUUCCCCUUCUCUCCGUUAGCUUCCGCCUGACACGUGAUGCAGCCAGGGAACCCUCACUGAACCUUCUAGCCAUCAGAAUCGGGGCUCAGGUUCCAGAGCUGGUGUCACAUACCCUUGCCUCAGCCUAGAGGUUUGCCUAUCAGGAAACAAGGCUGGCACCUUCUACAGCGGGUUCUGGGAUUUAGGAUUAGCCAGGAAUCAGCACAGUCUGGGAGAGCAAUGGAAGAUCACAGUAUUCACGAACAAGGACAGAUUGACCCGGGACAGGACACAGAACAUACUGUUCCGAGCCAUGGAGCAGAGAAAGGUUUCUCAGUGUCUACCCCACAGACUGGCAGCAUCUAUCCCUCUUUUCGGUGACAGAACUCUUGACUGCCACAAGUCAUGCAGCUGACUUUCCUGCCUUCAGAGGAGUCACGGGUUAACAUGCCUAGACUGCGAUGGAUGAGCCUCAUCUUGGGAAAAUCACCCUCAUGACCACGAGAUCUCCCCUGCCAGGAGGAGCAACAGUGUGGCAUAAAGUUAACCAUGAUCCUAGGAGUCACACAGCCCAGGCUCAAACAUGACUUCUUGUUUCCAGCUGAUCAGUCCGUCUUAGAUGUGAUGUGAUCAGCUGCCUUAAACUCCUGUAGAUUUGACUUCCUGGCUGUGACCGUCUUCACCUUGAACUGAACUGACAACCUCUCCCUCAUGGAGGACUCCCAGCCAGCCAGUAUCAGCCACGGAUGCUCGCCCUAGCAUCUCUCAAGCCCUUGCUGGGAUAUUGUGGGUCACUAGACUGCAGAGCGACAGCAGAGGUGUGUGGCCAUUUCUUGCUCGUGGUGGCAAAUGCAGGGUGCAGGACUUCUAUGGAGAUGCUCGGCUUUUCUGGGUACACUGCUUCUCAUUGUGUAAAUACGAAAUGUCCUCCAGAAGCCAUGUUUGAACCCUUAAGCCCCACGUGGUGACGGCGGGAAGGCGACAGAACCAUUAGGGUGCUGCUUUGCUGGAAGUGCUUCAUCGCUUGGCUUUGGUAUUUUAGUUGGCAUUUGUCUAUUUUUACUUUAUAUUUUCUUUCUCUGCUUCCUGGGUGUGAACGAAAUGGGAUCACUCUGCUCCCUGGCUGCCGAGCCAGCCUCUCGUUCCGGCAUUGGUGUGCUUUCCCCGCUAGGAUAGACUCUACGUCAUCUGGAACUGUAAGCCAGAAUAAACCAUUUCUUCGGCAAGCUACCCUGUUGUAGUAAUUGUUAGAAAAGAAUCUAGCAUGGCAUUAGCGGGUACAUUCAUCUCAGCAGCUGCCUGUCCCAGGGUACCCUGUCAUGCUACCCCCAACUAUUUCCUGUCCCCAGCGGUCUGUCCACCCCAGGUAGUCGCAUGCCAUGGCCGCCCCUUCCUGGCUGGCUCUCUGCCUCGAACUCUGCUCACAUUCCCUGUAACCUGGUAAAAUCGAGACCCAAAAAGCUUAUUAAUUUAGCAAUCAGAUUUAUAUGUUGAAUUUUCAAUCCACAAUACAUCCACACAAUAAACUCAGAGCCGAGUGA